rnacentral:misc_RNA from 1 species
UACGGAGGGUGCAAGCGUUGCUCGGAAUUAUUGGGCGGAAAGGGUAGGUAGGUGGUCUCGUUUGUCGGGGGUGAAAGCCCUGGGCUUAACCCAGGAAGUGCCUUCGAAACGGCGAGACUAGAGUUCUGGAGAGGGUCGUGGAAUUCCCGGUGUAGCGGUGAAAUGCGUAGAGAUCGGGAGGAACACCAGCGGCGAAGGCGGCGACCUGGACAGAGACUGACACUCAACUACGAAAGCGUGGGGAGCAAACAGG